GACGUCCCUAGUUCGGAUUGUAGGCUGAAACUCGCCUACAUGAAGCUGGAAUUGCUAGUAAUCACAGGUCAGCAUACUGUGGUGAAUACGUUCCCGGGCCUUGUACACACCGCCCGUCACACCAUGAGAGUUGAGAAUACCCGAAGCCCAUGUCUAAAGUGGUCGAAGGUAGGCUUGAUGAUUGGGGUGAAGUCGUAACAAGGUACC
rnacentral:rRNA from 1 species